rnacentral:rRNA from 1 species
AGCGUACACGGUGGAUGCCCUGGCAGUCAGAGGCGAUGAAGGACGUGCUAAUCUGCGAUAAGCGUCGGUAAGGUGAUAUGAACCGUUAUAACCGGCGAUUUCCGAAUGGGGAAACCCAGUGUGAUUCGUCACACUAUCAUUAACUGAAUCCAUAGGUUAAUGAGGCGAACCGGGGGAACUGAAACAUCUAAGUACCCCGAGGAAAAGAAAUCAACCGAGAUUCCCCCAGUAGCGGCGAGCGAACGGGGAGCAGCCCAGAGCCUGAAUCAGUGUGUGUGUUAGUGGAAGCGUCUGGAAAGGCGCGCGAUACAGGGUGACAGCCCCGUACACAAAAAUGCACAUGCUGUGAGCUCGAUGAGUAGGGCGGGACACGUGGUAUCCUGUCUGAAUAUGGGGGGACCAUCCUCCAAGGCUAAAUACUCCUGACUGACCGAUAGUGAACCAGUACCGUGAGGGAAAGGCGAAAAGAACCCCGGCGAGGGGAGUGAAAAAGAACCUGAAACCGUGUACGUACAAGCAGUGGGAGCACGCUUAGGCGUGUGACUGCGUACCUUUUGUAUAAUGGGUCAGCGACUUAUAUUCUGUAGCAAGGUUAACCGAAUAGGGGAGCCGAAGGGAAACCGAGUCUUAACUGGGCGUUAAGUUGCAGGGUAUAGACCCGAAACCCGGUGAUCUAGCCAUGGGCAGGUUGAAGGUUGGGUAACACUAACUGGAGGACCGAACCGACUAAUGUUGAAAAAUUAGCGGAUGACUUGUGGCUGGGGGUGAAAGGCCAAUCAAACCGGGAGAUAGCUGGUUCUCCCCGAAAGCUAUUUAGGUAGCGCCUCGUGAAUUCAUCUCCGGGGGUAGAGCACUGUUUCGGCAAGGGGGUCAUCCCGACUUACCAACCCGAUGCAAACUGCGAAUACCGGAGAAUGUUAUCACGGGAGACACACGGCGGGUGCUAACGUCCGUCGUGAAGAGGGAAACAACCCAGACCGCCAGCUAAGGUCCCAAAGUCAUGGUUAAGUGGGAAACGAUGUGGGAAGGCCCAGACAGCCAGGAUGUUGGCUUAGAAGCAGCCAUCAUUUAAAGAAAGCGUAAUAGCUCACUGGUCGAGUCGGCCUGCGCGGAAGAUGUAACGGGGCUAAACCAUGCACCGAAGCUGCGGCAGCGACGCUUAUGCGUUGUUGGGUAGGGGAGCGUUCUGUAAGCCUGUGAAGGUGUGCUGUGAGGCAUGCUGGAGGUAUCAGAAGUGCGAAUGCUGACAUAAGUAACGAUAAAGCGGGUGAAAAGCCCGCUCGCCGGAAGACCAAGGGUUCCUGUCCAACGUUAAUCGGGGCAGGGUGAGUCGACCCCUAAGGCGAGGCCGAAAGGCGUAGUCGAUGGGAAACAGGUUAAUAUUCCUGUACUUGGUGUUACUGCGAAGGGGGGACGGAGAAGGCUAUGUUGGCCGGGCGACGGUUGUCCCGGUUUAAGCGUGUAGGCUGGUUUUCCAGGCAAAUCCGGAAAAUCAAGGCUGAGGCGUGAUGACGAGGCACUACGGUGCUGAAGCAACAAAUGCCCUGCUUCCAGGAAAAGCCUCUAAGCAUCAGGUAACAUCAAAUCGUACCCCAAACCGACACAGGUGGUCAGGUAGAGAAUACCAAGGCGCUUGAGAGAACUCGGGUGAAGGAACUAGGCAAAAUGGUGCCGUAACUUCGGGAGAAGGCACGCUGAUAUGUAGGUGAAGUCCCUCGCGGAUGGAGCUGAAAUCAGUCGAAGAUACCAGCUGGCUGCAACUGUUUAUUAAAAACACAGCACUGUGCAAACACGAAAGUGGACGUAUACGGUGUGACGCCUGCCCGGUGCCGGAAGGUUAAUUGAUGGGGUCAGCGCAAGCGAAGCUCUUGAUCGAAGCCCCGGUAAACGGCGGCCGUAACUAUAACGGUCCUAAGGUAGCGAAAUUCCUUGUCGGGUAAGUUCCGACCUGCACGAAUGGCGUAAUGAUGGCCAGGCUGUCUCCACCCGAGACUCAGUGAAAUUGAACUCGCUGUGAAGAUGCAGUGUACCCGCGGCAAGACGGAAAGACCCCGUGAACCUUUACUAUAGCUUGACACUGAACAUUGAGCCUUGAUGUGUAGGAUAGGUGGGAGGCUUUGAAGUGUGGACGCCAGUCUGCAUGGAGCCGACCUUGAAAUACCACCCUUUAAUGUUUGAUGUUCUAACGUUGACCCGUGAUCCGGGUUGCGGACAGUGUCUGGUGGGUAGUUUGACUGGGGCGGUCUCCUCCUAAAGAGUAACGGAGGAGCACGAAGGUUGGCUAAUCCUGGUCGGACAUCAGGAGGUUAGUGCAAUGGCAUAAGCCAGCUUGACUGCGAGCGUGACGGCGCGAGCAGGUGCGAAAGCAGGUCAUAGUGAUCCGGUGGUUCUGAAUGGAAGGGCCAUCGCUCAACGGAUAAAAGGUACUCCGGGGAUAACAGGCUGAUACCGCCCAAGAGUUCAUAUCGACGGCGGUGUUUGGCACCUCGAUGUCGGCUCAUCACAUCCUGGGGCUGAAGUAGGUCCCAAGGGUAUGGCUGUUCGCCAUUUAAAGUGGUACGCGAGCUGGGUUUAGAACGUCGUGAGACAGUUCGGUCCCUAUCUGCCGUGGGCGCUGGAGAACUGAGGGGGGCUGCUCCUAGUACGAGAGGACCGGAGUGGACGCAUCACUGGUGUUCGGGUUGUCAUGCCAAUGGCACUGCCCGGUAGCUAAAUGCGGAAGAGAUAAGUGCUGAAAGCAUCUAAGCACGAAACUUGCCCCGAGAUGAGUUCUCCCUGACUCCUUGA